AUCAACUUUCGAUGGUAGGAUAGAGGCCUACCAUGGUAGUAACGGGUAACGGGGUUGUUAGGGCACGACACCGGAGAGGGAGCCUGAGAAACGGCUACCACAUCCAAGGAUGGCAGCAGGCGCGCAAAUUACCCAAUCCCGACAUGGGGAGGUAGUGACAAUAAAUAACAAUACAGGGUUCUUUUGGAUCUUGUAAUUGGAAUGAGUACAAUUUAAAUCUCUUAACGAGGAACAAUUGGAGGGCAAGUCUGGUGCCAGCAGCCGCGGUAAUUCCAGCUCCAAUAGCGUAUAUUAAAGUUGUUGCAGUUAAAAAGCUCGUAGUUGAAUUUCGGGAUCAAAGAAUCGGUCAUGCCUUGGUAUGUACUGGUUUUAUUGGUUCUCACCUUCUAAAGAACCAUAAUGUCAUUUAUUUGAUGUUAUGGGGAAUUAGGACUGUUACCUUGAAAAAAUUAGAGUGUUUAAAGCAAGCUUACGCUUGAAUACAUUAGCAUGGAAUAAUGAAAUAGGACAUCCGAUUCUAUUUUGUUGGUUUCUAGGAUCGAUGUAAUGAUUAAUAGGGAUAGUUGGGGGCAUUAGUAUUCAAUUGUCAGAGGUGAAAUUCUUGGAUUUAUUGAAGACUAACUACUGCGAAAGCAUUUGCCAAGGAUGUUUUCAUUAAUCAAGAACGAAAGUUAGGGGAUCGAAGACGAUCAGAUACCGUCGUAGUCUUAACCAUAAACUAUGCCGACUAGGAAUCAGGCGAUGUUAAUUUUUUAAUGACUCGUUUGGCACCUUACGGGAAACCAAAGUGUUUGGGUCC
rnacentral:rRNA from 1 species